GAUACCCAAAUUUCCUCCUAUUUGAAGACUUUUUUUUAGAUAAAUAAUUAUUAAGGGAUUGAAUCCAACUAUAUGCAAAAAUAAUAUUGUCAAGGUAAGGUAUCCAUGCAUACCAGACUUUUGUAUAUAUUGAAGAGAGCAAGGGAGGAAGGGAAUGAACAUUUAUUACAACAAUGAGCAGCCAUUGCACCUUUCUUCACAUUACUAUGCUCAAAUUAGUCAAACAUAGAAAGGUGGUCCAAAACAAGCUAAUGUAAGUAAUAUAAAAU
rnacentral:misc_RNA from 1 species